rnacentral:rRNA from 1 species
AUUGAACGCUGGCGGCAGGCCUAACACAUGCAAGUCGAACGAGUGGCAGACGGGUGAGUAAUGUCUGGGAAACUGCCCGAUGGAGGGGGAUAACUACUGGAAACGGUAGCUAAUACCGCAUACCAGCGGAUGUGCCCAGAUGGGAUUAGCUAUUAGGUGGGGGAAUGGCUCACAUAGGAGACGAUCCCUAGCUGGUCUGAGAGGAUGCACAGCCACACUGGAACUGAGACACGGUCCAGACUCCUACGGGAGGCAGCAGUGGGGAAUAUUGCACAAUGGGCGCAAGCCUGAUGCAGCAAUGCCGCGUGUAUGAAGAAGGCCUUCGGGUUGUAAAGUACUUUCAGCGGGGAGGCGUUACCCGCAGAAGAAGCACCGGCUAACUCCGUGCCAGCAGCCGCGGUAAUUC